rnacentral:rRNA from 1 species
GACGUAGGGCGCGAGCGUUGUCCGGAUUUAUUGGGCGUAAAGAGCUCGUAGGCGGCUUGUCGCGUCGUCCGUGAAAACUUGGGGCUCAACCCCAAGCUUGCGGUCGAUACGGGCAGGCUAGAGUUCGGUAGGGGGAGACUGGAAUUCCUGGUGUAGCGGUGAAAUGCGCAGAUAUCAGGAAGAACACCGAUGGCGAAGGCAGUGGGCUGGGCCGGUACUGACGCUGAGGAGCGAAAGCGUGGGGGAGCGAACAGG